UUCUGAUUUUCAGUGUCUUUAACGUGUUAGGGAAGUGUGUAAAGUCGAUUUAUUGCUGUGGCAUAUGGUUUGAAACAUCUCAAAUAGUUUAGCAUCAAGAAUAUUUAGUGGUUUCCAACUGCAGAAUUACAUUUUCGGGCAAAAAGUAAGAUAUACAUAAACAAAAGGUAUAUAUAUAUCGAUGUAUAUUCAAAUAGAAUCUUAUUUUUAAACUUCAGUGACAGAAAAGCAUAUCAUAAAGUUCAGUUUUAUAGCAAUUGUUUUUGAACUAGACGCCAAACAAUUAGCUUGAGGAGAAAACUCUUACACCAGUGGACAUGUGGAAAAGUGUUUAUUUAUGGGAAUUGCCAGCCUCAUCAAGGAACAAGGAAGAGCAAGGCAGCAUGUACUUGCCCCAGGGAAACACUGUGCCUUUAUCUAUGCACUGUGCUACUCACAUAUGGUAGCACUUUUAUAUCACGCACAUUACAAUGUUAGUGCGACGGACAUUGAGAGCUAUUGGAAUACCCCCUGUUCUAUGCCCAGCGAGGAAAAAACUGUUAAAUUAAUUAACUUAUAAUGCUUGCGGUCUGGAGCCCAGCACUUCUGUGAACUUGAAUGAAUGAGUUCUAUGAACAAGGCUUAUUGGGAUAAGGAAAGGAUUGUAUCGCAAGGGGUAGCUGAUAAUAGGGAUAAAUGACACAACUACACAAAAAUACAUAUAAAUAGAUAUAUUACUUGUUGUUUAUUGUUUACAUAAAUACUUUUUACAGAUAAAAAAUCUUUGGAGCAUUUUUAAGAAUAAGUCUUACAUCUAAUUACAUCCUUUAUAUGAUAUUGCCUAACUGUUUACAAUAAUUAAAUAUUUAUAUUUGUAAUACAAACUAUGGGAACAGUCCGUAAAAUAAAUUCUGCUUUGUAGAGCUUCCAAAAUAUUCGCAAUUACAUUAUUUGUUUGAAAAUCCAUAAAAAAUAGAUGUAAAUAUACAUUUCACUUAACUAA